rnacentral:rRNA from 1 species
AGAGUUUGAUCAUGGCUCAGAUUGAACGCUGGCGGCAGGCCUAACACAUGCAAGUCGAGCGGUAGCACAGAGAGCUUGCUCUCGGGUGACGAGCGGCGGACGGGUGAGUAAUGUCUGGGAAACUGCCUGAUGGAGGGGGAUAACUACUGGAAACGGUAGCUAAUACCGCAUAAUGUCGCAAGACCAAAGUGGGGGACCUUCGGGCCUCAUGCCAUCAGAUGUGCCCAGAUGGGAUUAGCUAGUAGGUGGGGUAACGGCUCACCUAGGCGACGAUCCCUAGCUGGUCUGAGAGGAUGACCAGCCACACUGGAACUGAGACACGGUCCAGACUCCUACGGGAGGCAGCAGUGGGGAAUAUUGCACAAUGGGCGCAAGCCUGAUGCAGCCAUGCCGCGUGUGUGAAGAAGGCCUUCGGGUUGUAAAGCACUUUCAGCGGGGAGGAAGGCGNCGAUUGACGUUACCCGCAGAAGAAGCACCGGCUAACUCCGUGCCAGCAGCCGCGGUAAUACGGAGGGUGCAAGCGUUAAUCGGAAUUACUGGGCGUAAAGCGCACGCAGGCGGUCUGUCAAGUCGGAUGUGAAAUCCCCGGGCUCAACCUGGGAACUGCAUUCGAAACUGGCAGGCUAGAGUCUUGUAGAGGGGGGUAGAAUUCCAGGUGUAGCGGUGAAAUGCGUAGAGAUCUGGAGGAAUACCGGUGGCGAAGGCGGCCCCCUGGACAAAGACUGACGCUCAGGUGCGAAAGCGUGGGGAGCAAACAGGAUUAGAUACCCUGGUAGUCCACGCCGUAAACGAUGUCGAUUUGGAGGUUGUGCCCUUGAGGCGUGGCUUCCGGAGCUAACGCGUUAAAUCGACCGCCUGGGGAGUACGGCCGCAAGGUUAAAACUCAAAUGAAUUGACGGGGGCCCGCACAAGCGGUGGAGCAUGUGGUUUAAUUCGAUGCAACGCGAAGAACCUUACCUGGUCUUGACAUCCACAGAACUUNUUGGUGCCUUCGGGAACUGUGAGACAGGUGCUGCAUGGCUGUCGUCAGCUCGUGUUGUGAAAUGUUGGGUUAAGUCCCGCAACGAGCGCAACCCUUAUCCUUUGUUGCCAGCGGUUCGGCCGGGAACUCAAAGGAGACUGCCAGUGAUAAACUGGAGGAAGGUGGGGAUGACGUCAAGUCAUCAUGGCCCUUACGACCAGGGCUACACACGUGCUACAAUGGCAUAUACAAAGAGAAGCGACCUCGCGAGAGCAAGCGGACCUCAUAAAGUAUGUCGUAGUCCGGAUUGGAGUCUGCAACUCGACUCCAUGAAGUCGGAAUCGCUAGUAAUCGUAGAUCAGAAUGCUACGGUGAAUACGUUCCCGGGCCUUGUACACACCGCCCGUCACACCAUGGGAGUGGGUUGCAAAAGAAGUAGGUAGCUUAACCUUCGGGAGGGCGCUUACCACUUUGUGAUUCAUGACUGGGGUGAAGUCGUAACAAGGUAACCGUAGGGGAACCUGCGGUUGGAUCACCU